CUACGGGAGGCUGCAGUCGAGAAUCUUCCGCAAUGGACGAAAGUCUGACGGAGCGACGCCGCGUGCGGGAUGAAGGCCUUCGGGUUGUAAACCGCUGUCAGUGGGGAGGAAAUGCAUCAGGGUUCUCCCUGGUGUUUGACCGAUCCGCAGAGGAAGCGCAGGCUAAGUUCGUGCCAGCAGCCGCGGUAACACGAACUGCGCGAACGUUAUUCGGAAUCACUGGGCUUAAAGAGUUCGUAGGCGGCCUUUCAAGUCGGGUGUGAAAUCCCUCGGCUCAACCGAGGAAUUGCGCCUGAUACUGUUGGGCUGGAGGGGGAUAGGGGCGAGCGGAACUGAUGGUGGAGCGGUGAAAUGCGUUGAUAUCAUCAGGAACACCGGUGGCGAAGGCGGCUCACUGGAUCUCUUCUGACGCUGAGGAACGAAAGCUAGGGGAGCGAACGGGAUUAGAUACCCUUGUAGUC
rnacentral:rRNA from 1 species